UUUUGCCCCAAUUGGGGGCUCAAGCCCUGAGGUCCACCCCUUCUCUCUCGUGUUUGAAAGAAAGGCCCUUCGGGGUGCUAAAGGCACUUUCCAGCGGGGGAGGAAAGCCGCUAACGGUUAAUAAACCUUGGCCGAUUGGACCUUACCCCGCAGAAGGAAGCACCCGGCUUAACUUCCGUGCGCAGCCAGCCGCCGGUAAAUACGGAGGGGUCCAAGCGUUUAAUCCGGAAUUUACUGGGGCGUAAAAGCGAACGCAGGCGGUUCUGUCAAGUUCGGAUGUGAAAUCCCCCGGGCUCAACCUGGGAACUGCAUUCGAAACUGGCAGGCUAGAGUCUUGUAGAGGGGGGUAGAAUUCCAGGUGUAGCGGUGAAAUGCGUAGAGAUCUGGAGGAAUACCGGUGGCGAAGGCGGCCCCCUGGACAAAGACUGACGCUCAGGUGCGAAAGCGUGGGGAGCAAACAGGAUUAGAUACCCUGGUAGUCCACGCCGUAAACGAUGUCGAUUUGGAGGUUGUGCCCUUGAGGCGUGGCUUCCGGAGCUAACGCGUUAAAUCGACCGCCUGGGGAGUACGGCCGCAAGGUUAAAACUCAAAUGAAUUGACGGGGGCCCGCACAAGCGGUGGAGCAUGUGGUUUAAUUCGAUGCAACGCGAAGAACCUUACCUGGUCUUGACAUCCACAGAACUUAGCAGAGAUGCUUUGGUGCCUUCGGGAACUGUGAGACAGGUGCUGCAUGGCUGUCGUCAGCUCGUGUUGUGAAAUGUUGGGUUAAGUCCCGCAACGAGCGCAACCCUUAUCCUUUGUUGCCAGCGGUUAGGCCGGGAACUCAAAGGAGACUGCCAGUGAUAAACUGGAGGAAGGUGGGGAUGACGUCAAGUCAUCAUGGCCCUUACGACCAGGGCUACACACGUGCUACAAUGGCAUAUACAAAGAGAAGCGACCUCGCGAGAGCAAGCGGACCUCAUAAAGUAUGUCGUAGUCCGGAUUGGAGUCUGCAACUCGACUCCAUGAAGUCGGAAUCGCUAGUAAUCGUAGAUCAGAAUGCUACGGUGAAUACGUUCCCGGGCCUUGUACACACCGCCCGUCACACCAUGGGAGUGGGUUGCAAAAGAAGUAGGUAGCUUAUC
rnacentral:rRNA from 1 species